rnacentral:rRNA from 1 species
UACGUAGGUGGCAAGCGUUGUCCGGAAUUACUGGGCGUAAAGUGUGCGCAGGCGGCCGCGCAAGUCGAGUGUGAAAUCCCCGAGCUUAACUUGGGAAUUGCGCUCGAAACUACGUGGCUGGAGUGUGGCAGAGGAAGGUGGAAUUCCACGUGUAGCGGUGAAAUGCGUAGAGAUGUGGAGGAACACCGAUGGCGAAGGCAGCCUUCUGGGCCAACACUGACGCUCAUGCACGAAAGCGUGGGGAGCAAACAGG